UACGGGGGGAGCAAGCGUUGUUCGGAUUUACUGGGCGUAAAGGGCGCGUAGGCGGCGCAACAAGUCACUUGUGAAAUCUCCGGGCUUAACCCGGAGCGGCCAAGUGAUACUGUCGUGCUAGAGUGCGGAAGGGGCUACUGGAAUUCUCGGUGUAGCGGUGAAAUGCGUAGAUAUCGAGAGGAACACCUGCGGCGAAGGCGGGUAGCUGGGCCGACACUGACGCUGAGGCGCGAAAGCUAGGGGAGCAAACGGG
rnacentral:rRNA from 1 species